CAAGUCGAACGAACGACCCCGGGCUUGCCUGGGGAAGUUAGUGGCGAACGGCUGAGUAACGCGUAGGUGACCUGCCCAGAAGUGGGGAAUAACUGCCCGAAAGGGUGGCUAAUACCGCAUGUGGCCACACGUUCAUUCGUGUGACGAAAGCCGAAAGGCGCUUUUGGAGGGGCCUGCGUUCGAUUAGCUCGUUGGUGAGGUAACGGCUCACCAAGGCGACGAUCGAUAGGUGGUCUGAGAGGACGAUCACCCAGACUGGGACUGAGGCACGGCCCAGACUCC
rnacentral:rRNA from 1 species